GAUUAAUUAUGUCUUAAAUGUCUGGUAGAUUUCCCCAGGGAAGCCCUCUGGCCCAGGGCUCUUAUUUGUUGGGAGAUUUUUGAUAACUGAUUCGAUUUCUUUACUAGCUAUGGGUCU